UCUACGGGAGGCAGCAGUGGGGAAUAUUGCACAAUGGGCGAAACCCUGAUGCAGCGACGCCGCGUGAGCGAUGAAGGAUUUCGGUAUGUAAAGCUCUAUCAGCAGGGAAGAAAAGUACGGUACCUAACUAGGAAUGCCUGGCUAACUACGUCCCAGCAGCCGCGGUAAUACGUCGGGGGCCACCGUUAUCCGGAUUUACUGGGUGUAAAGGGGACGUAGCCGGCUUGGCAAGCCAGAUGUGAAAGGCUGGGGUCCAACCCCAGGACUGCAUUUGGCACUGGCAUGCUAGAGUGUCGGAGAGGCAGGCGGAAUUCCUGGUGUAGCGGUGAAAUGCGUAGAUAUUAGGAGGAACACCAGUGGCGAAGGCGGCCUGCUGGACUAUGACUGACGUUGAGGCUCGAAAGCGUGGGGAGCAAACAGGAUUAGAUACCCUAGUAGUC
rnacentral:rRNA from 1 species